UACGAACUGUGCGAACGUUAUUCGGAAUCACUGGGCUUACAGGGUGCGUAGGCGGGUUGGUAAGUCCGUGGUGAAAUCCCCAAGCUUAACUUGGGAACUGCCGUGGAUACUAUCAAUCUUGAAUAUCGUGGAGGUAAGCGGAAUAUGUCAUGUAGCGGUGAAAUGCUUAGAUAUGACAUAGAACACCAAUUGCGAAGGCAGCUUACUAAACAAAUAUUGACGCUGAGGCACGAAAGCGUGGGGAUCAAACAGG
rnacentral:rRNA from 1 species